GGGGCCGUAGCUCAGUUGGGAGAGCGCUUGAAUGGCAUUCAAGAGGUCAGGGGUUCGACUCCCCUCGGCUCCA
rnacentral:tRNA from 7 species